AGAGCGAACGCUGGCGGCAGGCUUAACACAUGCAAGUCGAGCGGGCGUAGCAAUACGUCAGCGGCAGACGGGUGAGUAACGCGUGGGAACAUACCUUUUGGUUCGGAACAACACAGGGAAACUUGUGCUAAUACCGGAUAAGCCCUUACGGGGAAAGAUUUAUCGCCGAAAGAUUGGCCCGCGUCUGAUUAGCUAGUUGGUGAGGUAACGGCUCACCAAGGCGACGAUCAGUAGCUGGUCUGAGAGGAUGAUCAGCCACAUUGGGACUGAGACACGGCCCAAACUCCUACGGGAGGCAGCAGUGGGGAAUAUUGGACAAUGGGCGAAAGCCUGAUCCAGCCAUGCCGCGUGAGUGAUGAAGGCCCUAGGUUGUAAAGCUCUUUGUGCGGGAAGAUAAUGACGGUACCGCGAAGAAUAAGCCCCGGACUAACUUCGUGCCAGCAGCCGC
rnacentral:rRNA from 1 species